rnacentral:rRNA from 1 species
GUUGAACGCUGGCGGCAUGCCUAAUACAUGCAAGUCGAACGGACGGACGAGAAGCUUUCUUGUCUCAUGUUCGCGUCGCGCGGGUGAGUAACACGUGUGUAACAUACCUAUAUGACUGGGAUAACUUCGUGAAACCGGUGCUAAUACCGGCUGAUAUUUUCAACCGCAUAGUUCAAAAGUGACAGACGGUCUUCCUUUCACUUAUCCCAGAUGCCAGGCUGCAUUAGCUAGUAGGUCAGGUAACGGCUUACCAAGGCAACGAUGCAUAGCAGACCUGAGAGGGUGAUCGGCCACACUGGAACUGAGACACGGUCCAGACUCCUACGGGAGGCAGCAGUAGGGAAUCUUGCGCAAUGGGCGAAAGCCUGAUGCAGCAACGCCGCGUGUGUGAAGAAGGUCUUCGGAUUGUAAAACACUGUCAGUAGGGAGGAAGAGAUGAGAGUGAAUCCGUGUACAUAUUGACGGUACCCACAGAGAAAGCCCCGGCUAACUCCGUG